rnacentral:rRNA from 1 species
CUCAGAUUGAACGCUGCGGCAGGCCUAACACAUGCAAGUCGAGCGGUAGAGAGGUGCUUGCAUCUCUUGAGAGCGGCGGACGGGUGAGUAAUGCCUAGGAUCUGCCUAGUGUGGGGGAUAACGUUCGGAAACGGACGCUAAUACCGCAUACGUCCUACGGGAGAAANCGGGGGAUCUUCGGACCUCGCGCCAUUAGAUGAGCCUAGGUCGGAUUAGCUAGUUGGUGAGGUUAAAGGCUCACCAAGCCAACGAUCUGUAGCUGGUCUGAGAGGACGACCAGCCACACUGGAACUGAGACACGGUCCAGACUCCUACGGGAGGCAGCAGUGGGGAAUUUUGGACAAUGGACGCAAGUCUGAUCCAGCCAUUCCGCGUGCAGGAUGAAGGCCCUCGGGUUGUAAACUGCUUUUGUACGGAACGAAAAGGUUUCUAUUAAUACUAGGAGCUCAUGACGGUACCGUAAGAAUAAGCACCGGCUAACUACGUG